rnacentral:rRNA from 1 species
CCACCUUUGACAUGUAUGGAAUCCUUUAGAGAUAGAGGAGUGCUCGAACGAGAGCCAUAACACAGGUGCUGCAUGGCUGUCGUCAGCUCGUGUCGUGAGAUGUUGGGUUAAGUCCCGCAACGAGCGCAACCCUUGCCAUUAGUUGCUACGAAAGGGCACUCUAAUGGGACUGCCGGUGACAAACCGGAGGAAGGUGGGGAUGACGUCAAGUCCUCAUGGCCCUUAUAGGUGGGGCUACACACGUCAUACAAUGGCUGGUACAGAGGGUUGCCAACCCGCGAGGGGGAGCCAAUCCCAUAAAGCCAGUCGUAGUCCGGAUCGCAGUCUGCAACUCGACUGCGUGAAGUCGGAAUCGCUAGUAAUCGCGGAUCAGAGUGUCGCGGUGAAUA